CAAAGUGCUGGCAUUAUAGGCAUGAGCCAGUGCACCCAGCCUUCAUUGGUUCUUUUUAUGACCUGUUUGUACAUUAUUUGGCAUCUCUGUUGUCAUUGCAAAUAUGUUGCCUUAAUAUUAGAACAACAGGUGGGGAUCCACCACCUCAUCUCACUGCCACCAGAGACACAGACAUGCCUUUUGUUCAACUGACUCUGGAACUAUGUGAGGAACUGCUGGAUUCCAUAGUGCCCAACAGGCAGCUCUCACCUGACUGCCAAAGAGCUGCAGGGCUUGAGGACUGCCGUUCCGAGGUGAAUGUACAUAAUCCUGCUUGGAAGGCUGCCACUCUGAUUGAUGAAGAGGCAAGGAAAUUCUUUUCCUUUUCAGCUGUUUAUAGCUUAGAGGUCAGGUAAAGUAUAAUUUUGUGAGCAAAAUUUACGUUUUUCUCUACCUGAGUUACCCUAAAUUUAAAAACCAUUUAUGAGUAUUCUUAUCUGAUAGCAAUAUAGUUAUUUAUAUAAGUUCAGUAAGAAUCUGUUUUCUAACAGGGCAUAAUUGGAGACACUGGUUAUUUUGCCAAGGCUUUGACUGGAAUGGCAUAUUUUCAGAAUUGACCAAACUGAGGAAUGGAGGUUGACUUUAUAUAGUCUUUCUAGGAGAGACUGGCCUAGUACCUUGUCUAAAUGGUUCUCUUACAAGAUUUCUGACCUGUGCACAACACAGUUGACCUGGUGAAGUUGUACCCCUAACACUGGGAGGUCACCCUAAUUCCCUCCCUUCCAAUCCCUGGUCUGGCCUGACCUCACCGGUUCUGAGACAGCCAAGUGGGAAGGGGUCCUUGGAGAAUGUCCAUCCUCUUCAACUGACCUGCCCACUAGGAGGAGCCACAAGAGUUCCCAGCAUUUGCGGCAGGGAGGAGCCUGGCCCCUCUCCUUCCUGUGUGGAAACCAGGAUUCUAAUGGCUGGGUGGGAGGUGCCCUAGCAGCAACUCUGGCCUAGCAAGAGUCACUGUUUCCCUCUUGUCUUUCUUUUUCACCCAAUAAUACCCUGUCUUACUCAUUCAAAUUCAAAUUGUCUGUGAGCCUGAAUUUUCAUGGCCAUGGGACAAAAAUCCCUGUCUUUAGCUGAACUAAAGGAAAGUUCUGCUGCAGUUCCUCCUUAGAGACUCUUCAAAUGCAUAAUGUCUUGAGCCCAGGCUACCAGAACAAAUACCAUGGACAGGGUGGCUUCAAAAACAGACGUGUUUUCUCACAGUUCUGGAGGCUGGAAAUUGCUGACUACGUCAACAUAGUUGGGGUUUGUGGAGGGAACUCCUCCUCACUUAUAGACUGUGCAAAUGGUCGUCUUCCCAAUGUGUCCUCACAGGGCCUUUCCUCUGUGUACAUGCAGAGAGAGAGCUCUGGUCUUUCUCUUCUUAUAAAGGCAAUAGUCCUAUUGGGCUAAGGCCCUGCCCUUAGGAUCUCACUUUAACCCUUAUUACCUCCAUCUAGGCCCCAUCUCCAAAUACCGUCACAUUGGGAUUUGCCCUUCAACAUAAUGAAUUGUAGGGGAGCAGUGAGGCAUGAUUCAGUCCAUAGCACACCGCUCUCCUCUCCAGACCUCUCUCUCUGUCACUGGCAAGUCCUUUCAUCUCAAUUUCAGUUCUGUGAGGCCAUCCUACCCUUGUCUAUCACCCUGUUUGAUUUUUUUUUGUAGCCUCAUCAUUUAUUCAUUACAGUUUCUUAAGUUCUGUUGUUUAGGGAGCUUGUCAUUGCCUAGAUGAGUGCUGGGCACACAAUAGGUGGAUAUUCAAUAGGCAUGUGUUGAAUUUUAAUUCUGAACUUUGGAAUCUGCCCUGUGUUAACUUCCUUGAGAGGGCUGCCUCACUAAGGAACAAUGGCCAGAUGAUGAGUGGUUGUGCCUCAGCCAGAGGGAGGGCAGCUGCACCCAGGGUCUGCUGUUUAACACUGACUCUGUACCAUGAAGGAGGAUGCAAGUUUCUAUAAAUUCACGUAUUCUACAACCUUAUAUAUUCUGCAAAUAAAAUACUAUUUUUCUCUUA